AGGAUGAACGCUGGCGGCGUGCCUAAUACAUGCAAGUCGAGCGGUAAGGCCCCUUCGGGGGUACACGAGCGGCGGACGGCUGAGUAACACGUAGGAACGUACCCCAAAGUGAGGGAUAAGCACCAGAAAUGGUGUCUAAUACCGCAUGUGCUCUUCGGAGGAAAGCUUCGGCGCUUUGGGAACGGCCUGCGCAUGAUUAGCUUGUUGGUGAGGUAAUGGCUCACCAAGGCGACGAUCAUUAGCUGGUCUGAGAGGAUGAUCAGCCAGACUGGGACUGAGAACGGCCCAGACUCCUACGGGAGGCAGCAGUAGGGAAUUUUCCACAAUGGGCGAAAGCCUGAUGGAGCAACGCCGCGUGCAGGAUGAAUGCCUUCGGGUUGUAAACUGUCUUUUAUAUGUGACGAAUAUGACGGUAGCAUAUGAAUAAGGAUCGGCUAACUCCGUGCCAGCAGCCGC
rnacentral:rRNA from 1 species